AUUGAACGCUAGCGGGAUGCUUUACACAUGCAAGUCGAACGAGUGGCGGACGGGUGAGUAAUAUAUCGAAACGUGCCCAGUAGCGGGGGAUAACUACUCGAAAGAGUGGCUAAUAACGCCUACUAUCGGAACGGCCGAUAUUGGAUUAGCUAGUGGGUGGGGAAAAGGCACACCAAGGCAACGAUCCGUAGCUGGUUUGAGAGUGAGACCAGCCACACUGGGACUGAGACACGGCCCAGAAUCCUAAGGGAGGCAGCAGUGGGGAAUUUUCGACAAUGGGGGAAACCAUGAUCCAGCCAUGCCGCGUGUGUGAGAAGGCCUUCGGGUUGUAAAGUACUGUUGGCAGAGAAGCGGUAUCUGCAGAAUAAGCACCGGCUAACUACGUGCCAGCCGCCGAGGUAAUUA
rnacentral:rRNA from 1 species